rnacentral:lncRNA from 1 species
GGUCACUUUAGGGUGUGGCUGCCGCAGUGGGUGUUUGCCUUUCCUGCUCUCCCCAACUUGCCCAUAGCUGCUUUGCUGUAUUUCAGUCUCUCAGAUUCCACAAAAUCUGCUAAGAAAUGGGGGGUGAUAGGUUCAUGCUCAAGAGACUCCAGUGGCCCCAGAGGAGAGCGAAUUUAAAAAAUUCUAAUUGAAUUGAUUUUAAUUUAAUAUGAGAUUGUGUGAAGUAUUUAAAUGCAACAUUUAAAUGGCACUUAUUAAAAAGCAAUGUUUGAUAUUGAAAUAACUAUAUAGACAUAAUAAUAAUAAUGAUAGCUGAUAUCAAGGGCUGACCUGUACCAAGUACCAUUUUAACACAACUUAGCAUAUGAUAUCUCAUUUCAUCCCCACAGCUGACCUACAUGAUGGGAAUUUUUAUUAUUCCCAUUUUACAGAAGAUGAAACUGAGGUAUAGAGGGGCUAAUGGAUUGUCCCAAAGUCACACUACAGGUAGCAGCUAGUAGACACGAGGUUCAAAUCUCUGACUCCACAUGACUGUUUGAUGGCGAAGUCCAGAUACUUAACCAUUAAGCUUGACUGGCUGCCCCUGGAAUGGUUCUUCUCAAAGAAAAAUGAAGGCAAGAAGCAAGAAUUAGAAGUCACAAUUUCCACAAAGAUGUUUCGACACUAGAAUUUUCUGAGAGCACUUUGUGUUUGUGAAGUAUGCGUAGUGAUCACCCAGGUGAUUGAAGAUUCACUGAUGCCCAGAAGAUACACAGCAUGAAGAGCAGCCGGGAGCACCUCCACGUUGGCUGACUUUUCCCAGGCGCUUGGGGUCCUACCUGGAAAUCUGUGCUUUGACUUGGAGCCUAGUUCCUAGUGUGAAAUCUCACAAUGGAAGGAAUCCGCCAUGAAAAUUCUAAGUGAAAUUCUAGUCUUUUAAAAUCACUUGUAUACCAUUUCUCUGAAUGAUAUUUUCUGAUUCAUAAAAUUUGAGUAAUGGGUUUGUUAACUUCUUACAUAUUGUGGUUACAAUGAUAUAAUUCAAACUUUACUUAAGGACAUGAAACUCUUGUAAGAAAAAACAAAAAAAUGUUUUUCUUGAAACAGUGGCUGGGGACUUUCUCUUUUCAGUUUGAUGAGGUGUCAUUUCAGGUGCUAAAGACUUUAUAUACUCAUUUGUAUAUCCCCUGACAAUUAAAAUGAAGCUAGAUAACACAUUUAACAAGAAGAAGAAAAUGAAAUUAUUAUCGUGUUUAUGCAACAUCAAAAAAACUGCCUUUUGAUGCUAAAAGACACAGGUGUUAUCAUCAGGCAUUAGGCAGUGCCUAAAAGUUAAUAUCAUUGUUGACUUCAUUUCCCAGUCAAAGUGGGAUCACCUUUCCUUUCGCCUUCUCCACCCACUCGUCAUUUAUAAGAAAAGGGAGGUAGUUUCUAGAUUGCAGUUGCCAUUUUCUUUUAUCGUGUGGUUCUGAGCUUGUCCACCUGAGACCUGUUUCUCCUUUCCCCCACUUCAACUCCAUAUGCUUUUUUCCUUUUAUGUACUUAAAAAAAGUUUAUCAUGAACCUAAUUGAGUCUUUGUAAAUUUGAGAGAUGAGGCACAAGAAAAAUGUAGAGGAAUUAAUCAAAAGACAAGGCUGAUCAUUUUUUUCUUUUUCUGAAUGUCAGCUUUGAAAAACCCUUCCUGCUAAAGGCCAGAAUAAAUGUUAAUGAUUCAGAAGAAGGAAGAAACA